GAUGAACGCUGGCGGCGUGCUUAACACAUGCAAGUCGAACGGAAAGGCCCAAGCUUGCUUGGGUACUCGAGUGGCGAACGGGUGAGUAACACGUGGGUGAUCUGCCCUGCACUUCGGGAUAAGCCUGGGAAACUGGGUCUAAUACCGGAUAGGACCACAUUUUGGAUGGUGUGGUGGAAAGUUUUUCGGUGUGGGAUGAGCUCGCGGCCUAUCAGCUUGUUGGUGGGGUAAUGGCCUACCAAGGCGUCGACGGGUAGCCGGCCUGAGAGGGUGUACGGCCACAUUGGGACUGAGAUACGGCCCAGACUCCUACGGGAGGCAGCAGUGGGGAAUAUUGCACAAAGGGCGCAAGCCUGAUGCAGCGACGCCGCGUGGGGGAUGACGGCCUUCGGGUUGUAAACUCCUUUCGCUAGGGACGAAGCGUUUUUGUGACGGUACCUGGAGAAGAAGCACCGGCUAACUACGUG
rnacentral:rRNA from 1 species